AUUGAACGCUGGCGGCAGGCCUAACACAUGCAAGUCGAACGAGUGGCGGACGGGUGAGUAAUGUCUGGGAAACUGCCCGAUGGCGGGGGAUAACUACAGGAAACGGUAGCUAAUACCGCAUACCAUCGGAUGUGCCCCGAUGGGAUUAGCUAGUAGGUGGGGUAACGGCUCACCUAGGCGACGAUCCCUAGAUGGUCUGAGAGGAUGACCAGCCACACUGGAACUGAGACACGGUCCAGACUCCUACGUGAGGCAGCAGUGGGGAAUAUUGCACAAUGGGCGCAAGCCUGAUGCAGCCAUGCCUCGUGUAUGAAGAAGGCCUUCGGGUUGUAAAGUACUUUCAGCGAGGAGGCGUUACUCGCAGAAGAAGCACCGGCUAACUCCGUGCCAGCAGCCGCGGUAAUUC
rnacentral:rRNA from 1 species